rnacentral:rRNA from 1 species
GACGGAGGAUGCAAGCGUUAUCCGGAAUGAUUGGGCGUAAAGCGUCCGCAGGUGGCAGUUCAAGUCUGCUGUCAAAGACCGGGGCUUAACUUCGGAAAGGCAGUGGAAACUGAACAGCUAGAGUAUGGUAGGGGCAGAGGGAAUUCCUGGUGUAGCGGUGAAAUGCGUAGAGAUCAGGAAGAACAUCGGUGGCGAAGGCGCUCUGCUGGACCAACACUGACGCUCAUGCACGAAAGCGUGGGGAGCAAACAGG